rnacentral:rRNA from 1 species
GAUGAACGCUGGCGGCGUGCCUAAUACAUGCAAGUCGAGCGAACGGACGAGAAGCUUGCUUCUCUGAUGUUAGCGGCGGACGGGUGAGUAACACGUGGAUAACCUACCUAUAAGACUGGGAUAACUUCGGGAAACCGGAGCUAAUACCGGAUGAUAUUUUGAACCGCAUGGUUCAAAAGUGAAAGACGGUCUUGCUGUCACUUAUAGAUGGAUCCGCGCUGCAUUAGCUAGUUGGUAAGGUAACGGCUUACCAAGGCAACGAUGCAUAGCCGACCUGAGAGGGAGAUCGGCCACACUGGAACGGAGGCACGGUCCAGACGCCUACGGGAGGCAGCAGUAGGGAAUCUUCCGGAAUGGGCGAAAGCCUGACGGAGCAACGCCGCGUGAGUGAUGAAGGUCUUCGGAUCGUAAAACUCUGUUAUUAGGGAAGAACAUAUGUGUAAGUAACUGUGCACAUCUUGACGGUACCUAAUCAGAAAGCCACGGCUAACUACGUG